GUGUGAACAUGCUGAACACUACAUAUGUCCACUCUGCUCGUCCAUCACCUAGGGCCACUUGCUCCUCCUCUCUCUCUCCCCAUGACGUUAAUUGUUUGACAGGCCUGAGUGACUGCUUGUCUCGGUAUCUUUCUCUCCCUCUGUCAUUUUAGUCUUCUCGCUCUCCCUCUGUCACUCUACUGUAGUCUUCUACAGUUUGUGAUGAUCUCUCUCUUUUGGUUUCUCUGCCUUUGUCACUCCACCCCCCCCCCCACUCUCUCUCUCGCUCUAUCUGCCUGUCUCUGUGCCUAUUUCCUCUUCUUCUUCAUCUCUAUCUCACUCUUUCCCUUUGGCCAAGGCCAGAGGGCUAAAGCUCUACAGGCAUCAACUGGGGCUGGUGAUUCAACACCAAUAUCACCCAGUCCAGGUGAUGCAACCAAUUGGCACUUGGAAUUGGUCCCACCUGUCCCUCGUUACCUCAAAUGGGUAUAAUUAGAGGUGCAGUCACUUGGGCGGUAUGGCAGGCAGGCAGAUGGUAUGCCUAGUCCUUGGAAGAACCGGAGAAGAGGACCUAUUAACGGGCAGCACGCCACACGGCUCAAGAUGAGAGUAAGGAUGGAAACCCCGGACACAUCUCUCUCUCUUUUAUGUUUUGUUCAUUAACACAGGCGGUCCGAGGGGCCGCCACACCUGGCACGUUAACCUACCAGUUACCUGAUAGGCCUUUCAGUUGUAUUUCUCCCCUCCCCAUUCCCCCCCCAACCUUUAUUAAAGAAAUACUUUGUUUUGAGCACCACAAA